UAUUUUUUUUGUUUUGACGGAAGUGGUGGAGUUUUCGUCGCGGAGGAUUUAUUUUGUGGGCAAAUGUGAACCUUUUUGGGUUUUGGAGGGAAUUCUGCUGCCCGGAGGCCAGCCAGUGUCGUAGCGCUAAGGCCGGAAAAAAGCCGAAACGCUGAAUAACCCGGUGCUUAAUUGUAGGUGCAAAAAGUUUGACCCCAAAUACGAUUCGUUUUGGCUGUUCAGAUGGGAGACCGUUUGCUCUCUUAAUGUGAGAGUUGCUGUUCGAAACAAAAUGUUAAUCAUAAUUUACCGGAUACUUAAUUAAAAAUAUAAGACAAAAA